UACGAAGGGGGCUAGCGUUGCUCGGAAUCACUGGGCGUAAAGCGCACGUAGGCGGAUUGUUAAGUCAGGGGUGAAAUCCUGGAGCUCAACUCCAGAACUGCCUUUGAUACUGGCGAUCUCGAGUCCGGGAGAGGUGAGUGGAACUGGCGAGUGUAGAGGUGAAAUUCGUAGAUAUUCGCAAAGAACACCAGUGGCGAAGGCGGCUCACUGGCCCGGUACUGGACGCUGAGGUGCGAAAGCGUGGG
rnacentral:rRNA from 1 species